rnacentral:rRNA from 1 species
CCUACGGGUGGCAGCAGUGGGGAAUAUUGCACAAUGGGGGGAACCCUGAUGCAGCGACGCCGCGUGAGUGAAGAAGUAUUUCGGUAUGUAAAGCUCUAUCAGCAGGGAAGAAAAUGACGGUACCUGACUAAGAAGCCCCGGCUAACUACGUGCCAGCAGCCGCGGUACUACGUAGGGGGCAAGCGUUAUCCGGAUUUACUGGGUGUAAAGGGAGCGCAGACGGCUGUGCAAGUCUGGAGUGAAAGGCGGGGGCCCAACCCCCGGACUGCUCUGGAAACUGUAAAGCUGGAGUGCAGGGGAGGUAAGCGGAAUUCCUAGUGUAGCGGUGAAAUGCGUAGAUAUUAGGAGGAACACCAGUGGCGAAGGCGGCUUACUGGACUGCAACUGACGUUGAGGCUCGAAAGCGUGGGGAGCAAACAGGAUUAGUUACCCGAGUAGUC